CCCUUAGAUGUCCUGGGCCGCACGCGUGCUACACUGACACUUGCAACGAGUACUUUGCUUUACCGAAAGGUAAUGCUAAUCAUCAAUAAGUGUCGUGAUGGGGAUAGAUCUUUGGAAUUAUGGAUCUUGAACGAGGAAUGCCUAGUAAGCGUAGGUCAUUAGCCUACGCUGAUUAAGUCCCUGCCCUUUGUACACACCGCCCGUCGCUCCUACCGAUUUCGAGUGGUCCGGUGAAACUUUUGGACCGUGCGACUUUAUUGUUGUCACGGAAAGUCAGUUAAACCAUACUACUUAGAGGAGGGAGAAGUCGUAACA
rnacentral:rRNA from 1 species